UACGUAGGUGGCGAGCGUUGUCCGGAAUUACUGGGUGUAAAGCGCGUGUAGGCGGGAGGCCAAGUCUGCUGUGAAAUCGCCCGGCUCAACUGGGCGGGGUCGGUGGAAACUGGUCACCUGGAGGACGGUAGAGGCGAGUGGAAUUCCCGGUGUAGUGGUGAAAUGCGUAGAGAUCCGGAGGAACCCCAGAGGCGAAGGCGGCGCUCUGGCUCGCAACUGACGCUCAGACACGACAGCAUGGGGAGCGAACGGG
rnacentral:rRNA from 1 species